GGCCUUAUAGUGUAAGGGAAUUAGCACAUCAUCCUUCUAAGUUGAUAGACUUGGUUCGAAUCCAAGUAGGGCUACCA
rnacentral:tRNA from 1 species